rnacentral:rRNA from 1 species
UACGUAGGGUGCAAGCGUUGUCCGGAAUUAUUGGGCGUAAAGAGCUCGUAGGCGGUCUGUCGCGUCUGCUGUGAAAACUCAGGGCUUAACCCUGAGCUUGCAGUGGGUACGGGCAGACUAGAGUGCGGUAGGGGAGACUGGAAUUCCUGGUGUAGCGGUGAAAUGCGCAGAUAUCAGGAGGGAACACCGGUGGCGAAGGCGGGUCUCUGGGCCGUAACUGACGCUGGAGGAGCGAAAGCAUCGGGGAGCGAACAGG